CGGACGGGUGAGUAACACGUGGAUAACCUACCUAUAAGACUGGGAUAACUUCGGGAAACCGGAGCUAAUACCGGAUAAUAUAUUGAACCGCAUGGUUCAAUAGUGAAAGACGGUUUUGCUGUCACUUAUAGAUGAUCCGCGCCGCAUUAGCUAGUUGGUAAGGUAACGGCUUACCAAGGCAACGAUGCGUAGCCGACCUGAGAGGGUGAUCGGCCACACUGGAACUGAGACACGGUCCAGACUCCUACGGGAGGCAGCAGAG
rnacentral:rRNA from 1 species